UGGCCAUGGGGUGUAGAUUGGCCUGAGCAAAUGUGGUGCCGGUGGAACGAAAGCCUUUGGAGGAAUUAGCGAAAUUCCAAUGUGUGCGAAUCUGCAAAAAAUGCGAAAUAACCCUUUAACCGUACAUUUUACAGAUACGUGGCCAUUGACUUUUUCGAAGAUCUUAUGUAAAUACACGUGUAUGUAAAAUUUUGUGUCAAUACGACAAAACAUACAGGCGUAGCACUCAACAAUGUGUAUUUUCACCUUAGGGGACAAGAAAAAAUGGACUUUUUUCUCCUGCCAUGGGGGGGCGCUCUUUUGCCGAGUAAAAAUUCCUUCACAAAUGUGUUGAUGGCUGGACAUUGCAUCAUCCUAGAAAACUUGGAGGCCAGUGGGGACAAAAAUAAAAAGUUAUAAGACUUUUAAAUAUGUGGAUUUUAUGGUUAUCUUUGGCUCCCCCUAGAACCUAAACCGUGGGGUGCAGCGUCAUGAUUUGAAUAACUUUUAAUGGCCAUGGGGUGUAGAUUGGCCUGAGCAAAUGUGGUGCCGGUGGAACGAAAGCCUUCGGAGGAGUUAGCGAAAUUCCAAUGUGUGCGGAUCGGCAAAAAAUGCGGAAUAACCCUUUAACCGUACAUUUGACAGAUACGCGCGCAUUGACUUUUUCGUAGAUCUUAUUGAGAUACAUGUGUGUAUCAAUUUUUGUGUCAUUUUGCCAAAGCGUACAGGUGUUACACUCAACAAUGUGUAUUUUCACCUUAGGGGACAAGAAAAAAUUGACUUUUUUCUCCUGCCAUGGGGGGGCGCUCUUUUGGGGAGUAAAAAUUCCUUCACAAAUGUGUUGAUGGCUGGACAUUGCAUCAUCCUAGAAAACUUGGAGGCCAGUGAGGGCAAAAAUAAAAAGUUAUAAGACUUUUAAAUAUGUGGAUCUUAGGGUUAUCUUUGGCGCCCCCUAGAACCUAAACCGUGGGGUGCAGCGUCAUGAUUUGAAUAACUUUUAAUGGCCAUGGGGUGUAGAUUGGCCUGAGCAAAUGUGGUGCCGGUGGAACGAAAGCCUUCGGAGGAGUUAGCGAAAUUCCAAUGUGUGCGGAUCGGCAAAAAAUGCGAAAUAACCCUUUAACCGUACAUUUGACAGAUACGCCCGCACUGACUUUUUUGUAGAUCUUAUUGAGAUACAUGUGUGUGUCAAUUUUUGUGUCAUUUUGACAAAGCGUACCGGCGUGACAGUGAAUAGUGUGAAUUUUCACCUUAGGGGGCGCUAUGGAGCCAUUUUGCAUUUUCUUGUUUGGGCGACUUCGGAAUAUCAAAUUUUUCACCAGGCCCGGUCGUCCUGCCAAAUUUCAUGAGUUUUCGCCAGUGGGAAGUGGGCCAUUUUCCAGUUCAAAGGGGAGGAAAAAUAAUAAUAAUAAUAAUAACAAAAGAAGGAAACUACAGGAACAAGAGGGCUCUCGCAGCUGCUUAGCAGCUACGCUCGGGCCCUAACUAGGACCCCGUUGGGGCACUGGCGGGCCCGAGCUGUGUCGCGUCCCCCCCCCCAACGCGCUGCCUCCCCGUCCCAUUUGUGUCCUCUGGCCAUCGCCCUCUUUGGUAACGCCCAUCACUGCAAAGACCCUUUUCCUUCAUCGGCGUUUGCUGUUCUUCCUGCCAGUGCGUGUUGCUUUCACUUACACUUGCCACAGCCAGCCUCGUGAGUGCCUAGCCUAUUGGAUAUCACUGUCACCUACACAGGACAGUCACUACCUUUCUAUUAAUACUUUGUGUUUUAAUUUCACAUUAAUUUCCAAAUUGUAUAAACGACUGGAAAAAACUUGAGCCCCUGCCCCUGUAUAAUCA